rnacentral:rRNA from 1 species
GACGAACCGUGCGAACGUUAUUCGGAAUCACUGGGCUUGAAGGGCGCGUAGGCGGGCAUCAAAGUCAGGGGUGAAAUCCCGCGGCUCAACCGCGGAAGUGCCUCUGAUACUGGGUGCCUAGAGGGGUGCAGGGGCGUGCGGAACUAAGGGUGGAGCGGUGAAAUGCGUAGAUAUCCUUAGGAACACCGGUGGCGAAAGCGGCGCGCUGGACACCUACUGACGCUGAGGCGCGAAAGCCAGGGGAGCAAACGGG